GACGAACGCUGGCGGCGUGCUUAACACAUGCAAGUCGAACGGAAAGGCCCUGCUUUUGUGGGGUGCUCGAGUGGCGAACGGGUGAGUAACACGUGAGUAACCUGCCCUUGACUUUGGGAUAACUUCAGGAAACUGGGGCUAAUACCGGAUAGGAGCUCUUGCUGCAUGGUGGGGGUUGGAAAGUUUCGGCGGUUGGGGAUGGACUCGCGGCUUAUCGGCUUGUUGGUGGGGUAGUGGCUUACCAAGGCUUUGACGGGUAGCCGGCCUGAGAGGGUGACCGGCCACAUUAGGACUGAGGUACGGCCCAGACUCCAACGGGAGGCAGCGGUGGGGAAUAUUGCACAAUGGGCGGAAGCCUGAUGCAGCAACGCCGCGUGCGGGAUGACGGCCUUCGGGUUGUAAACCGCUUUCGCCUGUGACGAAGCGUGAGUGACGGUAAUGGGUAAAGAAGCACCGGCUAACUACGUG
rnacentral:rRNA from 1 species